UACCUCAGAACUGCCGUCAAAGUGAACCAGCACAGGACUCUCAGAUGACCUGCUACACAGCUUUGUUUUUAAAUUUACAAGGCAAAAGAACAUGGAGAACAAAGACAGCAGGAUGACAACAGAAUGGAACUCAACAAUGGAAAACAGAAAGCAAUCAGAUAGCAAACAAACAAGAACUGACAUGAAAACCCAAAAAGAAACUUUAAAAAGACAAAGGCAACUGAUAUGUCAAGCAAUGGAGGAGAUCGAACAACUCUGGAGACAGACAGAAAGAAAGACAAAUGAAAUUGACUUCUUAAAGACAAAGACAGAGGGGCAACAGGAAGACAUUGAGAGACUGACAUCUGAAAAAAAUAAACAUCACCUACUAUUAAAGCAAUUUAACUUCCAAAUAAAAAAUAUAACUGAGAAACUCAAACAAAGCAAAAAUUCAGUUGCUAAGGAAAAAACAAACUUUCUGAAAACGUGGACUAAAAUAUAUCAAGAAAAGGAUACUCUGGACAGAAGACGUCAAUACUUCAUCAACGAGCGACACAAGCUAGACACUAUAAAAGCUAGUAAGACAGAAUCACCAAUAAGGGAGGAACCCAAAGAGCCCCUUAAUGAGCAGGUAAAGCGGGAACUGGAUAUACUGGAGAAUGCAACUGAGAAAAACAGGGAAAUAAUGCUUGAAGUAAAGAAAGUUAAAGAAAAAAUGGAGAAAACUAAAGCAAACAUACAGCAAGCAUUAAAAAGAAAUAAAAAGGACAUUUCAAAAAACAGUGAACAAAUUAACCACAUUAAACAUAUUAUGUAUGUAAAGAUCAACAUGGUCAAGCACAGAUGGGCAAGCAUUAUAAAACAGGCUGAAAUGAAGAAAAUUCACAUGUAUAAAGAAGGACAGAGAGAAAGAAACGAUGGAAAAGCCACAUUUGACACAGUGAAGAGAAAACUGUGUAGAAUCCAGGAAGAGAUGGAGAAACUUUGGGAUGUGCUGGAAGACAGUGAACAACAACUGGAAGUGACUCAAAGUGCAAAGCAGCAGCUAAUGGCAGAGAACAAUCACAUGAACAUCAAGAUGAAUAUUGAUUAUCAAAAGCAACAAGAUUCAGAUCUAAGCUUUAAAGUGACACACAUCCAGCCUGAAAGAGAUGAUUUAAAGAGAGUUGAAAUGAAACUAAAGACAGGAAGGGAAAAUGUAGAAAAAGACAAACCAAAUACUUACAUGCAGAAUUUGAUCUCUGAGGAAGAAGAAAACAAUGAAGUGCUUUGUAACAAGGGUGAAGAAACAAAGCAGAGCAUGAGGGACUUUACAGAAGUAAAGGCUCAAACGAAAUGGACAAAUUUUCGAGAAAAGCAAAAAAGAAGGGAGCUUGAGCGUUUGCUGGAGAAGAUAAGGAAAGAGAGGGAUGAGUUAGAAAUCAUGAAGACAAAAAUACAGCGACAAAAGGAAAGGGUUGAACAAAAACUGGAAAAUACUGUCACUGAGAUAAAAGGUAAAAUAGAAAAAACUGGUGCAGAAAUGAACAACACUUGGGAGAAAAUGCAGAGAACCCAAAGGGAGAUUAGUAAGAACCAGGAAGAAGCCAAGAACUAUAUGGAAAAACUGACAUCCAUGAAAACUUGGGUCAACAAAUGGAUAUUGGCACAAUCUACAAUCAAACAUACUUUUUCAGUGAACGCAUCCAAACUUCAAGAAUCACAGUAUGAAAUAGACACAGACUCCCUUGAGGAUCAAACAUCAGCAAUUCCAAAGGACAAAAAAGGGAAAAAAAGUAUAACAGAUACAACAUCAUUACAAAAUUCUGUAACAUUAGAUGAUCAGCAUCAAAAUAAAAAAAUAAAAGAACAACAGAAGGAGCAUUUUGAAUCCAAAUAUUGUUUUGCAGAAGGCAAAAAUGGGGAGCAGGACUUUUGCUUACAGAUGCGAACUGAAAUUCAUGAAGAAGUAGUGCAUGAUAAAACUGAAUUACUGAUAAUUGUAAGAGAAAGGGAAGAAGUGGAAAAACUGAUACGUAACCUAAAGCAGCAAGAGGGGGAAAUAAAGGAACAAAUAAAGUACACUAUUGAUAACAUGAACGAAAAAACUCAAGAUAUAAAAAGGCUCAUUUUGGAAAUAAAUGACCUGCAGAGGGCAGACACUGUAAUUACAGUCGGGGAAACUGAAAAUGCCCAGGAAGUAUUAACUAAGCUGUUGGAAGAAACUGAACAGAGAAAGAUUUUGAUGCUGAACACCAAAGUUUUCAAAAAUGAAAUAAUAAAAUAUGAAGUACAAGAGGGGGACGAUGCCAAAAAAAUAAAACAAGAGUCUAGCUUGAUAAGGCUUAAUGUUAACAAGCAAAAACUAAUUCAGAAAUCAGGAGAAGAGAUGAAAAAACAUGUUGAACACACCGAUGAAGAUAAAAAGGACAGAGGAGCCGAUAUACAAAGACUCAGGGCAGAGAUUUACAAAACACAAGAGAUUAUAAGAACGCUAAGAGGAGGACUUGAGAACCUAGCGGAAAAAAAUAACAUGGACAAAUAUCAACAGAAUGAAGGCAGUGAAAUUGAAGGAUUGCUAAAAGACAUCAAACAGUUUCAAGAGUUUUUGGAAAUUGUAAAAACCAAAAUAAAGCAAAGUGAAGUACAUAUGACAGAAGAAAUGAGCAAUAUAAAAUCAAUGAAAACUGCAGUGAAAAAGAAGAGAAGAGAAUUAGAUCAAAGAUUAGAAAAUACUUUGAAAGAGAGAGAUGGAUUAGACAUCUUUAAAAUAAAAAUGCAGAGGCAAACUGAACUGAUUCGGCAGAAUUUAGAAAAAAUGGCAAAAGUUAAGAGCACAGUCGAGAAAAUAGCUGCUAAGACCAGAAGGAAAAUUGAAGAGAUAGAAAUUAGUAUGAAGGAGACUGAAAUAAAACUAAGACAGUUUAAAGACCUUGACUGCAUUAACCUUAACUUGACAAAAGGCGCAAAACCAGACAUGGAACAUGGUAGUACACCUAAGCAAAGAACUGCUCUUGAAAUUUUCAAGACUGAAAUUAAGAAGACAAUGGACAAUAAAAGAGAUAAACUGACAAAAAACAAAAUGGACAAAGAAACUGAGGGAACAGAAAGCCUCAAACAAGUUAAUGAGAAACUGGAGGAGGUAAAACUUUCAUUAGACAGUCUGGGUCAAAAAAAUAAAAAAUCAGUUAGUGAGAAUGUAAAACAAAUAAUCAAGAGAGAAGAGACUGAGAUGACAGAACAGAUCCAAACAGCGAUAAAGAAUGAGAAAAUGGUUAAACAGCUAACUGAAACAGAAAUACAGGAGGAACAGGUGAACCAUUUGAGGGAGAAAACUGAAAGAAAAGAACAGGAGCUUGAUGACGGAGUACACAUGACCAAAAGGCAAAUAAGAGAAAUGGAGCUGCUGCAAUCAGAAUUGAAAAUAAAGGUAAAAGAAUUUGAGCGUUUUUUUAGAAAAAGUAUGAGAAAAAAGGAGGAAAUUGAAAUAAUGUGGUAUGAAAUACAACAAGAAAAGGAAGCAUUGAGGACCGAGAUCAAAAAGAAAAGAAGAGAAUUAGACCAAAGACUGGAGAUGACUAUGAGAAAAAGGGAUGAACUAGAAGUGUUAAGGGUAAAAUUGAAACGACAGAUGGAAGAGCUGGCUGAGGAGAAGCAGAGAGACCAUAAUCUGUUCAUCCAUCUACCCAAUGAACAUGAAAAACAUUUUGGAAGGAAAGAUGUGAAAAUGUUAAUGGAGAAAAUCAAAAACCACAGCUUAAAAGUUUCUCAGUAUACUAUUUACAUCCAAGACAUAAGAGACAAGUUUAAUUUACACAUGGGAACAAUUAGGACAGAGAUGAAAAUUCUAGAAAAUGUGAAUGCUCAUUUAGAAAAGGACAAAAAAGGAUUCAGAGAAGUUGAGGCUGAAAAUAAGAAUAUAACAAACAAAAUGAAGAGGUUAAAAUAUCAGCUUAAUAUACUCUUUGGAAGAGUUACCAUACAAGACACUGCAGAGAUGGAUGAAACAAUCAACAUCUGGGAAAAAAUCCAAAGAGAAAAACAGAAGCUUGAUAUGAGACUAGAAAAUAUUAAAAGGGAAAGACAAGAGAUAGAAGUUCUGGUGGUUGAGCUGGAGAUGAAGAAAAGAGAAAACCAACGUGUAAUCAAAAGAAGCAUUCAAAAAGAACAGAAGAUAAAAAGAAUAUGGGCUACUUUCAAAGAAGAAAGAACUGCCCUCGUGAGAGAAACAAAGCAGAAAAAGGAGGUUGAACAACGACGAGAGGAGAUCAUCAAACAUCAAGGUGAACAAGAAAUAAAGCAGAAGUUGCAAAAAGAAAAGAAAGGGAUGCAAAGUGAAAUUGAAGACAUGAGGAUGAAAGAAAAAAGGAAACAAAUUCAAAAACAAUGGGAACUAAUCAAGAAAUACUUAGGGGAAUAUAAAAAGGUAAUUAAAAACACUCAAUUCAUCAUUGGAAUAAUUCAGAAUGAAAAUAAACACAUGCAAGACCAAAAAAAUUUCUACAUGACCAAAAGGAAAGAAACACUGAAUAUUAAAAGUGAAUUAAAUAGGCAAAAGGAAAUUAUACGGUGUGCAUUAAAAAACAUACAACAAGAGCCAAAACAUGGGGAACAAGUGGAGACAAAAAUCAAGACGGAGCAAGGAAAGCAUGAAAAUGAAAGGGAAAAAAUAUAUGAGAUAGAAAAAGAUGCCUUGGAUGACUUAAGUGCAGACGAGAGUCAAGACAAAGAGGAUCUUGAAAGAGUGAAAGAGUUGUUGAAAAAGAACCAGAAACUUGACAUGAGAGGCUGUAAAAUCAAAAAAGAAAUAGACAUAUUAAAACAAAAAAAUGAAAACAUAAAAGAGGAAAGGAAAACAACUGAAAUAAAAGAAACUGAAAAAAAAAUGAAACUGAAAGAUUUCAAUAAAAUGUUUUGGGGCAAACAAAAAGAAAAACACAGUACUGAGUAUCUGACUGUAAAGAAAGAAUAUAAAAGAGAAACGACUAAGGAUGGUAUAAAAAGGGUGAUCUUACAAGACACAAAACAAGACUUGAUAAAAAAAGAGAUAAAAAAAUGUAACCAGGAAAAAGAAAAAGUCAUCCAGAUGAAAACUAGACGUGAGAAUAGAAAAGAACUGUUGUUGAAGGAAAGGAGAAAUAUGGAAGAAGAGCGGUCUGAGAUGGAAAUGAGAGGAGACCAAGUCAUGGAUGAAAUGAAAUUGCUAGAGAUUCUGAAAGUGAAACUUCAACAACUGAAGGAGGAUAUAAAAGCCAAAAUGGAGAGAUUACUACAAAAUGUUGACAACAGGUCAAGGCUGCAAACAGUGUUGGAAGAAAAACUUCCAACCCAAGACGAACUGAAAGAAAGCAUUCGCUGUUUCACUGAAAUGUUAGAGAGAGAAAAGGAAGGUGUGAGAAGUAUCCUUUCAGAAAUGGUCACCAAGAGAGAAAGCACAGAAAAUGAAUGGAAGCAGCAGUUUGAACUGGACAAACGAGAGCUUGAUAAAGUGAAAGAAGAUCUGAGACACGACAGAGAAGAUCUGGAGAGAGAAAGUGAGGUGCUGAAUAAAGAGAAAAUGGAUUUGAAGGUGUUGAUGUCUGACAUCAAGAAACAAUUUGAAAUAUUGGAAGAAAAGAAACAAAAUAUAAAAGAAGAACGAGACUCAAUGGAAACCAUAAAGCUUGAACUGCUCGAUAAGAUGGAACAUGUAAACAGGCUGUUACAUGAGACAAAUGACGAAAAAGCCAAGAUUAAAAAUUGUAUCCUUCAGGUUCAAACGGAAAAAGAAAGACUUGAAGACAUUUUAAGCAAGAUUUUCUUAACACAUAAUGAAGAAAAAGUCAAGGAAGAUGACCUCAGAAGUCAAACAAAAGAAGUGGAAAUCAUGAAAAAGGAAUUACAGAGUGAAAGAGCAAAAGUGGAGAGUCUGAUGAGGAAUCUGAAGAAGAAGCAAGAAGAGCUUGGGCGUGCAAAGGGAAUCAUGAGUGAAGAAAAAGAAGAGAUGAAAGAGAUGAAGACUGACAUUGCCAAAGAACGAGAACUGUUGUUGAAGGAAAGGAGAAAUAUGGAAGAAGAGCGGUCUGAGAUGGAAAUGAGAGGAGACCAAGUCAUGGAUGAAAUGAAAUUGCUAGAGAUUCUGAAAGUGAAACUUCAACAACUGAAGGAGGAUAUAAAAGCCAAAAUGGAGAGAUUACUACAAAAUGUUGACAACAGGUCAAGGCUGCAAACAGUGUUGGAAGAAAAACUUCCAACCCAAGACGAACUGAAAGAAAGCAUUCGCUGUUUCACUGAAAUGUUAGAGAGAGAAAAGGAAGGUGUGAGAAGUAUCCUUUCAGACAUGGUCACCAAGAGAGAAUGCACAGAAAAUGAAUGGAAGAAGCAGUUUGAACUGGACAAACGAGAACUUGAUAAAGUGAAAGAAGAUCUAAAACAUGACAGAGAAGAUCUGGAGAGAGAAAGUGAGGUGUUGAAUAAAGAGAAAAUGGAUUUGAAGGUGUUGAUGUCUGACAUCAAGAAACAAUUUGAAAUAUUGGAAGAAAAGAAACAAAAUAUAAAAGAAGAACGAGACUCAAUGGAAACCAUAAAGCUUGAACUGCUCAAUAAGAUGGAACAUGUAAACAGGCUGUUACAUGAGACAAAUGACGAAAAAGCCAAGAUUAAAAAUUGUAUCCUUCAGGUUCAAACGGAAAAAGAAAGACUUGAAGACAUUUUAAGCAAGAUUUUCUUAACACAUAAUGAAGAAAAAGUCAAGGAAGAUGAACUCAGAAGUCAAACAAAAGAAGUGGAAAUCAUGAAAAAGGAAUUACAGAGUGAAAGAGCAAAAGUGGAGAGUCUGAUGAGGAAUCUGAAGAAGAAGCAAGAAGAGCUUGAACGUGCAAAGGGAAUCAUGAGUGAAGAAAAAGAAGAGAUGAAAGAGAUGAAGACUGACAUUGCCAAAGAACGAGAACUGUUGUUGAAGGAAAGGAGAAAUAUGGAAGAAGAGCGGUCUGAGAUGGAAAUGAGAGGAGACCAAGUCAUGGAUGAAAUGAAAUUGCUAGAGAUUCUGAAAGUGAAACUUCAACAACUGAAGGAGGAUAUAAAAGCCAAAAUGGAGAGAUUACUACAAAAUGUUGACAACAGGUCAAGGCUGCAAACAGUGUUGGAAGAAAAACUUCCAACCCAAGACGAACUGAAAGAAAGCAUUCGCUGUUUCACUGAAAUGUUAGAGAGAGAAAAGGAAGGUGUGAGAAGUAUCCUUUCAGAAAUGGUCACCAAGAGAGAAAGCACAGAAAAUGAAUGGAAGCAGCAGUUUGAAUUGGACAAACGAGAGCUUGAUGAAGUGAAAGAAAAUCUGAGACACGACAGAGAAGAUCUGGAGAGAGAAAGUGAGGUGCUGAAUAAAGAGAAAAUGGAUUUGAAGGUGUUGAUGUCUGACAUCAAGAAACAAUUUGAAAUAUUGGAAGAAAAGAAACAAAAUAUAAAAGAAGAACGAGACUCAAUGGAAACCAUAAAGCUUGAACUGCUCAAUAAGAUGGAACAUGUAAACAGGCUGUUACAUGAGACAAAUGACGAAAAAGCCAAGAUUAAAAAUUGUAUCCUUCAGGUUCAAACGGAAAAAGAAAGACUUGAAGACAUUUUAAGCAAGAUUUUCUUAACACAUAAUGAAGAAAAAGUCAAGGAAGAUGAACUCAGAAGUCAAACAAAAGAAGUGAAAAUCAUGAAAAAGGAAUUACAGAGUGAAAGAGCAAAAGUGGAGAGUCUGAUGAGGAAUCUGAAGAAGAAGCAAGAAGAGCUUGAACGUGCAAAGGGAAUCAUGAGUGAAGAAAAAGAAGAGAUGAAAGAGAUGAAGACUGACAUUGCCAAAGAACAAGAACUGUUGUUGAAGGAAAGGAGAAAUAUGGAAGAAGAGCGGUCUGAGAUGGAAAUGAGAGGAGACCAAGUCAUGGAUGAAAUGAAAUUGCUAGAGAUUCUGAAAGUGAAACUUCAACAACUGAAGGAGGAUAUAAAAGCCAAAAUGGAGAGAUUACUACAAAAUGUUGACAACAGGUCAAGGCUGCAAACAGUGUUGAAAGAAAAACUUCCAACCCAAGAUGAACUGAAAGAAAGCAUUCGCUGUUUCACUGAAAUGUUAGAGAGAGAAAAGGAAGGUGUGAGAAGUAUCCUUUCAGACAUGGUCACCAAGAGAGAAUGCACAGAAAAUGAAUGGAAGCAGCAGUUUGAACUGGACAAACGAGAGCUUGAUGAAGUGAAAGAAGAUCUGAGACACGACAGAGAAGAUCUGGAGAGAGAAAGUGAGGAGCUGAAUAGAGAGAAAAUGGAUUUGAAGGUGUUGAUGUCUGACAUCAAGAAACAAUUUGAAAUAUUGGAAGAAAAGAAACAAAAUAUAAAAGAAGAACGAGACUCAAUGGAAAUCAUAAAGCUUGAACUGCUCAAUAAGAUGGAACAUGUAAACAGGCUGUUACAUGAGACAAAUGAAGAAAAAGCCAAGAUUAAAAAUUGUAUCCUUCAGGUUCAAAUGGAAAAAGAAAGACUUGAAGACAUUUUAAGCAAGAUUUUCUUAACACAUAAUGAAGAAAAAGUCAAGGAAGAUGACCUCAGAAGACAAACAAAAGAAGUGGAAAUCAUGAAAAAGGAAUUACAGAGUGAAAGAGCAAAAGUGGAGAGUCUGAUGAGGAAUCUGAAGAAGAAGCAAGAAGAGCUUGAACGUGCAAAGGGAAUCAUGAGUGAAGAAAAAGAAGAGAUGAAAGAGAUGAAGACUGACAUUGCCAAAGAACAAGAACUGUUGUUGAAGGAAAGGAGAAAUGUGGAAGAACAGCAGUCUGGGAUGGAAAUGAGGGGAGACCAAGUCAUGGAUGAAAUGAAAUCACUAGAGAUUCUGAAAGUGAAACUAAUUGCGAGGAAAUCCCUGAAAGGUGAACUGUCUGAUGUACAACCCAGAGAGGACAUCCUCAGUAGUGUUACAAUCUCUACAAGAAACCUUAUAGGAAAACUAAAUAGACUGAUUCAUCAAGACUUGCCGACAUAUAUUAAGAGAGUAGAGGGGGAAAAUGAAAAAAUAUUACAAGUGAUCUCCACAUAUGAACAAAAUUGGGUCAGAAUUUAUAAGCAGAAAAUUAAAAUUACUGCAGAUUAUGACAAGAUACAACAACAAAAGAAACAUGUGUUUAAGACAACAUUUGACAAAGCAAUCCAAACUGAGGAUGUUGUAAAACAAUGCUUACAUGAGCAUCAGGAUGAAGAGACCAAUGAACAUGAAUUUAAGCAGAGGAUGAAGGAUGUUGCAGUUAAUCUUGAAGGAAGCAAAAGAUACUUGACACCUGACAAGGAAGGUCUGCUGUUAGUAGGAGAAGGUGAAGAAUUUGGAAAUGUCAAGAAAACAAAUCUUGCAACGUUGUCCAUCUUGUCAGCAGAGGAAGAUGACUUCACACAGAAGGGAAUUUUAAAAACUGAGUUUUUGAAACAAAUCUGGAAGGACACUAGAAUAGAACGAAAUGAAAUAAAUCAGAUGAAGCUCAGAGGUCAAGAAAUGAGAAACAAUAUGGAUAAAAGAGUAAAGGUGAUCAAUCAUUUUGUUAGGAGAUCAAUAUUUCAGAAAGAAAAGACAUCAGUUGAGAAAACAAGAAAAAUGUUGGAACAUGGGCAAAGUAAUACGUUUUUAUCUGUAAGUGGCAGGGAUGGAGAACACAAAUCACUUGAUGAAAAAUAUACCGAGCUCCAACAACUUAAGGUCCGCAUGCUUAGUGAGAUUGAGAAAUUCUACAUACAAAACAAAGCGUCUAAGACACUGACAACUAGCAACAAAGCUAAUCAAACAGUUCAACUAGAUUCUCCAAAUAUCUAUCAAGAGCAAAUAAAGGUAGAAGAAUCUGAAGCAGCACCAGAGAGAUCUCCUGGACUCCUCAGUCAGCUCAGACUUUCCUGUUAUCGCUGUUGCUCCCGUUAUUGUGCCUACUGCAAGCAAGGAUGUAUAAAGAAAAAAUGAGAGGCAAGAAAAGUGCUACAUAAAAAUCAGUCCAUUUACCUUUUGUUUUACUUUUUAGUUAUAUUAAUAUGUGUGUAUUUGGAAAAUGUGUUUUUCCCGUUAAUCAUAUUAACCUAACAACGUAAGAGUACCAGUCUGAUGUCAAUCAUCUAAUUUUUAAACAACUAGUUAUGUAAUGUAAAAGUAUUCCUUUAACAUGUUAUUUUUUUCACAAAUGCAAAAUAUUAAAGUUUAACAGAUAAUCUUAACAUUUCUAAUUACAUUUUUAUGCUGAUUUCUAAUUAAUCUUCUUUCAACAUAUUUAUUCUGUUGUCUUGUGUUAGAAUACAGAAGCACAAAGAAUACAGUAAAAUCAAAACUAACAAGAAUAUUUGAAAACUGUGACUCCAUAUAUAUUCAUAUUUAAAUGAAAGAAAAAUGCAUGUUUAACAUAAAUUUGAUCCCUAAAUAAAUCUUUUUCCAAAACCAUUCACAUCACUGCAAUAUUUUUCUUUUGGUAAAUUUCGAAUUAUAUAAGAACCCAAUUGUUUGAAACAUUAUUUAAAUUAAUUACACAGUUAAUUGUAAAUUGACAAAUUAAAUAUAAAACUCAUGCCAUCUAAUUAUCUUCAUUGGG
ensembl:lncRNA